CACAAAAGUUCUAUGAUUUACAUUUGGCCAUUUCCCAGACGUCGAACGGGAAAGUCGUACACAUUGCAAGUGAUAAAUAGGCCAAAAUAAGACGGAUUUUCAAAGUUAAUUUUCUAUUAUAAAGUAGCUCUUGAUUGGCCCUAUAAUUGUUGCUAAAGUCGAUUAUGGGCAAAAAUUCGCUUUCGACAUUGUUGCGAUCAACUGAACUUUUGCUUAUUUUAAAAAGUUCAGAUCAGAUCAAAGUUAAUAAAACUAUAUGUCAACUGGUUAAAUUAGCUAAGGUUUAAUAUUUUUGGAAAAUAACAUCGGUACAAAAGAAUAUGGAAAUGUGUGUUUUUAACUUUUAAUUUGUUGGCCUCGGUGGACUCGUAGCAAAAAACAGGGGCUAUUUUCUCUGGGUGUAUACACGGAUCUCCUACUGCCCUGGUGGGGAGGGGACCAGGGAAUACGCAUGGAAUAUCUGCAUUUGUACAUACACCCUCGAACCGGGCGCCUGCAAUUCAAUAUGCCUGGACUCCCCGGCGGGAUUUCCCAGUUAACAUGGAGCCAUGGAGCCACUCUUUAUGCAAAGAUACAUUUUCCAGGAUCAUCCUUGAGCUGCUUGAAGCUCUCGCUGUUGGGAAACUGAUAUGCAGGCGGCCACAGGCACAACAGACAGAACAAGAGGGCUGGCAUAAGGACUGCGGUAGACGGAGGACGGAGAUGGAGACGGGGACGGGUAACGAAGCCUGGCGCUAGUCCAGGUAAAAGCCAAGACCCGCAAAACAACAAUACUCCUCAGCCCAGUUCCAGCCUCAGUCCAAUCCCAACAAUAAAAAUACGACGGAAAGUAUACAAAAAAGUACAAAAACAAACAAAAAUCUCGAAUACAAAAAUUCGAGAAAAAAAACUUUGCUAAAAGCCCAUGAAAAACCAAUAAAGGAAGACUCGAUUUUGAUACUCUUUCUAAUGCAGCUUAAGGGAUCAAAAAUGUUUGAGUUCAGAAAGAAAGGUCUGGAUUGUUAUAGAGACUUAUCAAGUAUUGUGGAUGUUAAUUGGACAUUGUGGCGGGUAUAAUGGUAUUAUGGCUCCGAAAAAAACAUUUCGAGCUUCUAAUAGUACGAACAUUUUAAGUAUAUUGAGCCUAUUUCAGACGCGUGAAACGAGUUCGCAAAACGAUUGCGUAUAUGCAACAUAAGGGAAACUAAAACUAAGUUAUUGUAGAAAAGAUAACUUGAAGAUCGUUCUUGAUCGUUCCCAUACUUUAUGUCCCAUAUUUCAUGCUGAAAUUGUGUUCGAGUAACACUACCGAUCCAAUGAUGUUAAUUCUUAGACUUAAAAAGGUAAAUAAAAAUGAUCAAUUUGAUCAGGAUCUUAAGUGAAUCCUUCUGAUCAAAAAUUGUAUACCCUCCAUCGGUAAGGGUAUAGAAAAAGCUCAGGAACUACUUCAGGCAUAACCCAAUAUGAUCUCUUUUGUGCGCGGCCCUAGACAAUCGUCUAUAGGGUUGGCGGAUGGAAAGGAAGGCGCGCCGAAAAUAAUUUGCCAUAUCCUGGCAAGCGGAACGGAACAGGGCCAUACCGUCGUAUGGGUAUGAAAAGGGGGAGAGAUAAGAGAGCUCGAGAGCCGAGGGAACUUUGUCGGCAAAAGAUGAAAGCAGAACUGGGGUGCUAAUAAAGUUGCCCACAAAGAACUUUGAUCCAUGGCCCAAAGAGGGGAGCGGUAAGCAUCAAGCGGCAAACGUGAAGCGGGGGAAACGAUCAUCGUAUGCACUCGAAACUCCGGCUACAGGCUCUCUCUGCUCUGUAGUGUGGUGUAGGUGCUAAUUUAGCGACCCCACACACACAGACAGACAGACAGACGGAAA